GGACUUUAGGCCGAGUGGGCGAGGAUCAAGGCUAUGCAGCUCACUCGGGUCUGGAACCAAACGUAAACGGUGUGUCGCGUGUGGCGGCGCGAGCGUCAGCGAUCGCACCCCACGCCCACAUAUACUGUCCAUGACGGCCGUGUGAUUGGGAGUUCCGAUGCAAUAAAUCCUUGCCUUAAACCAUGUCUGACAACAAGGAUUGCACAGACCAAUACGGCGUCCUCCUCUACUAUAAGUAUGCUCAAUUUCCUAACCUUGACCACCUCCUCACUUUCUACGAGUCUAACUGCUCCUCCCUUGGCCUCCUUGGUCGCGUUCGUAUCUCCUCCCACGGCGUCAAUGUCACUGUUGGUGGUAAGUUAGCCUCUCUAGAAAGACACGUUGAAACAGUCAAUGGUAAUAGUUUAUUUGAAGGAACUGAUUUCAAGCUUGCUGCUUGUCAUCAACCAUUGAACGACAAGAUUGCAAAAGAAUGCGGCUUUACCUCUCUCUCAGUUCGAAUUGUCAAGGAACUGGUUACUCUUAGUUCCCAUCCCUUGCUAAAACAACCAGAAAUUUCAAACGCUGGAAGACAUCUCUCUGCAGCUGAGUUUCAUUCUGUCCUACAGAAUGCUGCCAAGGACAGUCCAGCAGACAACCUUGUCUUACUUGACGCAAGGAAUCUUUAUGAGACAAGAAUUGGGAAAUUUCAUGCCCCAAAUGUUGAAACUUUGGAUCCACAAGUAAGACAAUACAGCGAUUUGCCAUCAUGGAUAGAUGGUAAUCAUGAUCAAUUGAAAGGGAAGCAAAUCCUCAUGUACUGCACUGGCGGAAUCAGAUGUGAAAUGGCAUCAGCAUAUAUUAGAUCAAAAGGUCUGGGCUUUGAGAAUGUGUUUCAGCUAUCUGGUGGGAUACAACGAUACAUGGAGCAAUAUCCUGAUGGUGGUUUCUUUAAAGGAAAGAAUUUUGUUUUUGAUCACCGGAUAUCUGUUGGGAGCUCAGAUGCAAACGUUAUUGGUACCUGCCUUACUUGUGGAAGCUCAUUUGAUGAUUAUUCUUCACGGUGCCGAUGUGCUUGUUGCAGAAUGCUUGUUUUGGUCUGCAAUAGUUGUCAGGAUGAAGCUGCACCCUAUGUUUGUGAGUUAUGCCAAAAACAGGGUAAGGCUGUUAGGAUGUUGCAGCUAACCGAAACUGGUGAAGCAGAAAAGUCACUUCCAGAUGUUGAGUUUCAAACGGUUCCCUUAGACACUACUUUCUCAUCCCAAAUGCCUCAGAAAAAGGAUGUCAGGUCAGCAAGAAAACUCAGGAUCUUAUGCUUACAUGGAUUUCGGCAGAACGCAUCAAGUUUUAAAGGAAGAACAGCAUCAUUGGCCAAAAAACUUAAGAAAAUUGCUGACUUAUUUUUUAUAGAUGCCCCUCAUGAGUUACCAUAUAUUUAUCAGCCACUAGUAUCGGAUCAUCAUAUGAAUUGUGCAUCAACUUCAUUGCCCUCAAGUCCUCCUCCACCUUCGGCGAGCUGUAAGAAGAAAUUUGCAUGGUUUGUGGCACCCAACUUUGACGCAGGAGGGAUAGCUGAUUGGAAGGUGGCAGAUGGCCCAUUUGAUCCGCUUCAAUACCAGCGGCAAACUGAUGGAUAUGAUAUUUCAAUAGCUCAUUUGAAGGCUUUCUUGUCUCAAGAAGGGCCUUUUGAUGGAAUAUUGGGAUUUUCACAGGGAGCAGCAAUGGCCGCAUUAAUCUCUGCACAAGAGAAGCGUAAGGGUGAAAUGGACUUCAGAUUCGCAAUCUUGUGCUCAGGCUUUGUCGUCCAUAAGGAGGAGAUGGACUGCGAGUUGAUCAAACUCCCUUCUCUUCACAUUUAUGGCAAUGAACAUGGUAAAGACAGGCAGAUAGCCAACCAAGCUAGCAAGGAACUUGCUUCUCUUUAUGAUGGCCGUAGUUCGGUUAUUGUUGAACAUGAUUGUGGUCAUAUGAUUCCUACCCGGUCUCCGUACAUCGAUGUGAUCAAGGACUUCCUAAAUCGUUUUCUGCAAUAGGUCAAGUAGGCUCGACAGAUUUAUAAUCUCUCACUGCUCUUCUGCUUGUCGCCAUCUUGCCGAGGAAGGAAAAAUGUGUACAAUUCAGUUUUGAUGCUAAUGCCUUAGAGACACUGAGCAGAAAGUACUGGUUUUGUCGCAGAAACAAAUUACCUUGAAGACAAGCAAGUCCUCCAUUUGCAGCCAAAUCUAGCAGGUUCCUACAGACGUGGUAUGUUUGAUUAAGCAAAAGCAAACAAAGCCGGGGGUGUCCCCAACGCUCUCCAUGCGUUCAGUUAUUGUAAGCAAACUAGAGAGACGAAAUUAUUAGGCAUCCUCAAGGCAAGGCGAUUAAAGCUGGAAACUGCAGUUCUGAUAACCUCAAAGUGAUGAAUUGUAAUAAGACAUAGGAAUUUGUGCGACGUGACAUUAAAGAAGAGUACCACAAACAAAUGCUGGUAUGGGCGAAGGGGUGGGAUGAGCUGAGGGGGUUAUUCAAUGCAGGAUGUCCUACCACAUGUCCCGUCCAACAACCUACCUCUUUUCCCCCUUCAUUUACUCUUUCAUUCAUUAAUUCUAUAACAAUUGUCAACCCCACCAC